rnacentral:tRNA from 1 species
GCGCCGGUGGUGUAAUGGCAUGGAGCAUUCCUGCCUGGUCAGCAGGAGCUGCAGGUUCGAAUCCCGUCUGGGGUU